AUGGCAGAUCGCUGGCUGGAGCUGCCCAAUCUGGCCCUGCAAGUGGUGGGGAUCUUACCGGAGGUCCAGAGGCCUAGCAGCAUGGUCCCUCGCUGCCAGAAGGUGGCUUACACGGCCAUUUCCCUCCUCAUCUACCUUGUCGGCAGCCAACUGCCUGUGUAUGGAUAUGGAGUCCGUUCUCCAUCGGUUGCUGACUCUCAGUACUGGGUUGACAUGCCCGACUGCAACUCCGUCAUGUCUGCUGGGAUCAUGCCCCUUGUUCUGUCUGAGGCGGUGCUUCAUUUCCUGCUGUGGUGUAAGGUUCUUAGAGCAAACAAUCCUGAGGACCGGAUGCUCCUGAGUCGGGUGCAGAAGUUGGUUGGGAUAAUUUUUGCCGCUGAUUUCUCAGUCUGCAGGGUGCUAAUUUCACCUAUCUUGGGCAAACUGACCUUAGGGCAGUCAAUUCUGAUCGUGCUUCAGCAUUUCUUUGGAAGUGUCAUCGUCAUUUAUCUUGAUGAUCUCCUUAAAAAGGGAUAUGGGUUUCUUUCGAGUAUCCCCUUGUUCAGUGCCACCGACAUUUGUACAAGUAUUUUCUGGAAAGCUUUUAGCCCCUGUAUCAUAAAGCUAUACGGUGGGCAGCAUGGUGAUCAACAUGGGGAAGCUCUCACUUCCUCCCUUAUUCAUCGAUUCGUUGGUAAUGGAAACUACAAAUUGUCUUCGAUGCAUAAGGUGUACGGAUGUCGAGACCUCCCGGAGAUGGCUAGUGUGCUUUCCACGUGCGCCUUCUUUCUACUCGUCCUCAGCCUGCAAGGCUUCCAUGCCAUGUUGCCACUGAGAUCCAGUGAGGUGCCUAGUAUGCAAAUGAACUAUGCCAUCAAGCUUUCCUACCUGUCCUUUGCACCCCUACUCUUCCAGGAUGUAAUGGCCAUAUUCCUAUACAUCAUCUCAGAGUUGCUGUACGUGAAGUUUGGUGAAAAGAACAAGGUGGUCAUUUUGCUGGGCAAAUGGAAGAAAUCCAGAUAUUUUGGGCAAGCAGUUCCAGUCAGUGGCUUAGCCUACUACGUUACUACACCACCAACCUUCUGGGGUGUGGCCUUACGUCAUUUUCCCUUUUCAGUGCGUUGGCAGGUUGCUUGGGGAGCGACGAAAUGUAACAGUCGCCCAGCCGGACUCUGUUCCUCUGCAGCUAUGGAGGUGCUAUGUAGGCAAGGCAGCGUUUCUUGUAGGACUCUGCAUUGGUGCACUUACGCUUCUGGCAGACCUUGCUGGCGUGGUCGGCUCUGGCACCGGGAUCAUGUUCGCCCUCACUGUCUUGUACUCGUGCUUGGAAGAGACCAGUUAUAG
rnacentral:rRNA from 1 species